GCCUUCGUGGUGUAGUGGUCAGCACGCUAGAUGCGUGUUCAAGAGGCCCGUGGUUCGAGUCCCGGCAAAAGCA
rnacentral:tRNA from 1 species